rnacentral:tRNA from 1 species
CGUAGCUCAAUCUGGUAGAGCAACGGACUCUUAAUCCGUGAGUUGGGGGUUCGAGUCCCCCCGG